rnacentral:rRNA from 1 species
CGCAGAUCAAAAUAUCAAUAUACGGGAGAA